rnacentral:rRNA from 1 species
GAGAAACGCUGGCGGCGCACAUAAGACAUGCAAGUCGAACGGAACUUUAAUAAAUGUUUACAUUCGUUAAAGUUUAGUGGCGGACGGGUGAGUAACACGUGAGCAACCUGCCUUUAAGAGGGGGAUAACAUUGAGAAAUCAGUGCUAAUACCGCAUAAUGCAAUUUGUUUGCAUGAACGAAUUGCCAAAGGAGAAAUCCGCUUAAAGAUGGGCUCGCGGCUGAUUAGCUAGUUGGUAGGGUAACGGCCUACCAAGGCGACGAUCAGUAGCCGGCCUGAGAGGGUGAACGGCCACAUUGGGACUGAGACACGGCCCAAACUCCUACGGGAGGCAGCAGGUGGGGAAUAUUGCACAAUGGGGGAAACCCUGAUGCAGCGACGCCGCGUGAGUGAAGAAGUAUUUCGGUAUGUAAAGCUCUAUCAGCAGGGAAGAUAAUGACGGUACCUGACUAAGAAGCUCCGGCUAAAUACGUG